CCAGUAGUCAUAUGCUUGUCUCUAAGGUUAAGCCAUGCACGUCUUAGUACGAAUUUGUUAUCAAAAUGAAACCGCGAACGGCUCAUUAGAUCAGUCUCGAUCCGUCGGACCGUGUCCGAACCCUCGGUUUGGAUAACUGUGGAAAUCCUAGAGCUAAUACAUGCAAUCAAGCCGCGAGCCCCGAGCGAUCGGGCGCGAACGGCGCAGUUAUUAGGAAUCAAGACCGACAGGUGUGCGGGGACGGCCUUCGCGGGUCGCUCCUCGUCCCUAACCCAUUUUGGUGACUCUGGGUAGCAGUGCAGAUCGCACGCCCUUCGAGGCGGCGACGGGUCCGGCGAGCGUCUGCCCUAUCAGGUGACGUAGGUAGGCGAUCGGCCUACCUAGCCUAUGACGGGUGACGGGGAAUCUGGGUUCGAUUCCGGAGAGCUAGCCUGAGAAACGGCUAUCACAUCCAAGGAAGGCAGCAGGCGCGCAAAUUACCCACUCCCGGCACGGGGAGGUAGUGACAAGGAAUAACAAUACGGGACUCUAUCGAGGCCCCGUAAUUGGAAUGAGAGCAUUCCAAAAACCUCAACGAGGAACCAUCGGAGGGCAAGUCUGGUGCCAGCAGCCGCGGUAAUUCCAGCUCCGAUAGCGUAUAUUAAAGUUGUUGCAGUUAAAAAGCUCGUAGUUGGAUCUCGGGAGCGGGCGUGGCGGUGCCGGCCGGCGUGCUUCGCGCAGCCGGCUUCCAGGCACUGCCCGUCGCCGCCUCCCUGCUCGCCGGUUGGGCCGGGGUGCCCUUCGCCGGGUGUCCCGGCUCCGGCCGGCGCUUUUACUUUGAGAAAAUUAGAGUGCUCAAGGCAGGCCCGUCAGUGGCCCCUGAAUAUCUACGCAUGGAAUAAUGGAAUAGGACCUCGGGUCCCGUUCUGUUGGCCUCUCGACCGCGAGGUAAUGAUUAAGAGGGACGGACGGGGGCAUCCGUAUCGCGGGGUUAGAGGUGAAAUUCUUGGAUCCUCGCGAGACGAACAACAGCGAAAGCAUUUGCCAAGAACGUUUUCAUUAAUCAAGAACGAAAGUCAGAGGUUCGAAGACGAUCAGAUACCGUCGUAGUUCUGACCAUAAACGAUGCCGACCGGCGUUCCGCCGCGCGUCGCUCACACAGAUGACCCGGCGGGCAGCCCCCGGGAAACCUCGAGUCUUCGGGUUCCGGGGGAAGUAUGGUUGCAAAGCUGAAACUUAAAGGAAUUGACGGAAGGGCACCACAAGGAGUGGAGUCUGCGGCUUAAUUCGACUCAACGCGCGAAACCCUACCAGGUCAGUACUCCGCUAGGAUUGACAGAUCGAGAGCUCUUUCUUGAUUCGGUGGGUGGUGGUGCAUGGCCGUUCUUAGUUGGUGGAGCGAUCUGUCUGGUUAAUUCCGAUAACGAACGAGACUCUAGCCUGUUAACUAGUCCGGCGGGCGCCGUCCGUGCGCCCGCCGCAGUCGUCCGGGUAGUGGCGCGUUGCCUUUCGGGGUGCGCGUCAUCCGGGCGCGGACUUCUUAGAGGGAUGUGUGGCGUUCAGCCACGCGAGAUUGAGCAAUAACAGGUCUGUGAUGCCCUUAGAUGUCCUGGGUCGCACGCGCGCUACACUGAAGGGAUCAGCUGGCGUCUACCCGGCCCGAGAGGGUCGGGCAACCCGGUGAACCCCCUUCGUGCUAGGGAUCGGGGCUUGCAAUUCUUCCCCGUGAACGAGGAAUUCCUAGUAGGCGCCAGUCACCAACUGGCGCCGAUUGCGUCCCUGCCCUUUGUACACACCGCCCGUCGCUACUACCGAUUGGAUGGUUUAGUGAGAACCACGGAUUGGUCCCGGACCGGGGCGGUUCGCCGUCUCGUCCGUCGGCGCCGAGAAGUCGUUCGAACUUGAUCAUCUAGAGGAAGUAAAAGUCGUAACAA
rnacentral:rRNA from 1 species